AGAGUUUGAUCCUGGCUCAGGAUGAACGCUGGCGGCGUGCUUAACACAUGCAAGUCGAACGAAGCAUUUAGAACAGAUUACUUCGGUUUGAAGUUCUUUAUGACUGAGUGGCGGACGGGUGAGUAACGCGUGGGUAACCUGCCUUGUACUGGGGGAUAGCAGCUGGAAACGGCUGGUAAUACCGCAUAAGCGCACAAUGUUGCAUGACAUGGUGUGAAAAACUCCGGUGGUAUAAGAUGGACCCGCGUCUGAUUAGCUAGUUGGUGAGAUAACAGCCCACCAAGGCGACGAUCAGUAGCCGACCUGAGAGGGUGACCGGCCACAUUGGGACUGAGACACGGCCCAGACUCCUACGGGAGGCAGCAGUGGGGAAUAUUGCACAAUGGAGGAAACUCUGAUGCAGCGACGCCGCGUGAGUGAAGAAGUAUUUCGGUAUGUAAAGCUCUAUCAGCAGGGAAGAUAAUGACGGUACCUGACUAAGAAGCUCCGGCUAAAUACGUGCCAGCAGCCGCGGUAAUACGUAUGGAGCAAGCGUUAUCCGGAUUUACUGGGUGUAAAGGGAGUGUAGGUGGCCAGGCAAGUCAGAAGUGAAAGCCCGGGGCUCAACCCCGGGACUGCUUUUGAAACUGCAGGGCUAGAGUGCAGGAGGGGCAAGUGGAAUUCCUAGUGUAGCGGUGAAAUGCGUAGAUAUUAGGAGGAACACCAGUGGCGAAGGCGGCUUGCUGGACUGUAACUGACACUGAGGCUCGAAAGCGUGGGGAGCAAACAGGAUUAGAUACCCUGGUAGUCCACGC
rnacentral:rRNA from 1 species